GACCUCNAAUCAGGUAGGACUACCCGCUGAACUUAAGCAUAU
rnacentral:rRNA from 1 species